ensembl:lncRNA FAM74A6 family with sequence similarity 74 member A6
CAGGGUAGGGCUCCAGCUAAGCCACGUAGGCACUACGAUGGGCAACAGAAAGGUUGGUUUCUGGGCAAUUCAGAGAAACCAAGGACAGCUACCCCCAGAACUCAGAGUAGCCAACUGGGCUGCUCACAGGAGAUGCCUUAACUGAAAGGUGAUCAGACUCCACAGGAGACCCAGAGAAGAUGUGGAGGGAGCUCAGAGGCUGUCCUGGAGGAGACGUGGAGACAGCUCAGAGGCUGUCCCAGAGAAGACGUGGAAAGAGCUCAGAGGCUGUCCCAGAGAAGACGUGGAGAGCUCAGAGGAUGUCCCAGAGAAGACGUGGAGAGAGUUCAGAGGCUGUCCCGGAGAAGACGUGGAAAGAGCUCAGAAACUCAGAGACUGUCCCGGAGAAGACAUGGAAACAGCUCAGAGGCUGUCUGCAAGAAGACGUGCAGAGAGUUCAGAGGCUGUCCCGGAGAAGACAUGGAGAGAGCUCAAAGGCUGUCCACAAGAAGAUGUGGAGAGAGUUCAGAGGCUGUCGUUACUGCUGCACUUGGCUGUUUUUCUUUGGAUAAUUAUUGCAAUCAAUUUUAGUAAUUCAGGUGUUAAAUCACAGUCAAGCACCUAUUUACCUAGUGUGGUCUGAUGAAUUUCACUUCUUUGAUACUUUUUGAGAGAGCUGAGAGUCCAUUUCCUGAGGAAGAAACUCAGAGAAAACAAAUGUAAAAUCCUUAAGUAAGUCAUAUUUGGUUGGGAAGAUCAAAGAAAUCACCCAGUCUCCCACAUCCGAAAUUGUGCA